GUAUCAGAAGUGCGAAUGCUGACAUAAGUAACGAUAAAGCGGGUGAAAAGCCCGCUCGCCGGAAGACCAAGGGUUCCUGUCCAACGUUAAUCGGGGCAGGGUGAGUCGACCCCUAAGGCGAGGCCGAAAGGCGUAGUCGAUGGGAAACAGGUUAAUAUUCCUGUACUUGGUGUUACUGCGAAGGGGGGACGGAGAAGGCUAUGUUGGCCGGGCGACGGUUGUCCCGGUUUAAGCGUGUAGGCUGGUUUUCCAGGCAAAUCCGGAAAAUCAAGGCUGAGGCGUGAUGACGAGGCACUACGGUGCUGAAGCAACAAAUGCCCUGCUUCCAGGAAAAGCCUCUAAGCAUCAGGUAACAUCAAAUCGUACCCCAAACCGACACAGGUGGUCAGGUAGAGAAUACCAAGGCGCUUGAGAGAACUCGGGUGAAGGAACUAGGCAAAAUGGUGCCGUAACUUCGGGAGAAGGCACGCUGAUAUGUAGGUGAAGUCCCUUGCGGAUGGAGCUGAAAUCAGUCGAAGAUACCAGCUGGCUGCAACUGUUUAUUAAAAACACAGCACUGUGCAAACACGAAAGUGGACGUAUACGGUGUGACGCCUGCCCGGUGCCGGAAGGUUAAUUGAUGGGGUCAGCGCAAGCGAAGCUCUUGAUCGAAGCCCCGGUAAACGGCGGCCGUAACUAUAACGGUCCUAAGGUAGCGAAAUUCCUUGUCGGGUAAGUUCCGACCUGCACGAAUGGCGUAAUGAUGGCCAGGCUGUCUCCACCCGAGACUCAGUGAAAUUGAACUCGCUGUGAAGAUGCAGUGUACCCGCGGCAAGACGGAAAGACCCCGUGAACCUUUACUAUAGCUUGACACUGAACAUUGAGCCUUGAUGUGUAGGAUAGGUGGGAGGCUUUGAAGUGUGGACGCCAGUCUGCAUGGAGCCGGCCUUGAAAUACCACCCUUUAAUGUUUGAUGUUCUAACGUGGACCCGUGAUCCGGGUUGCGGACAGUGUCUGGUGGGUAGUUUGACUGGGGCGGUCUCCUCCUAAAGAGUAACGGAGGAGCACGAAGGUUGGCUAAUCCUGGUCGGACAUCAGGAGGUUAGUGCAAUGGCAUAAGCCAGCUUGACUGCGAGCGUGACGGCGCGAGCAGGUGCGAAAGCAGGUCAUAGUGAUCCGGUGGUUCUGAAUGGAAGGGCCAUCGCUCAACGGAUAAAAGGUACUCCGGGGAUAACAGGCUGAUACCGCCCAAGAGUUCAUAUCGACGGCGGUGUUUGGCACCUCGAUGUCGGCUCAUCACAUCCUGGGGCUGAAGUAGGUCCCAAGGGUAUGGCUGUUCGCCAUUUAAAGUGGUACGCGAGCUGGGUUUAGAACGUCGUGAGACAGUUCGGUCCCUAUCUGCCGUGGGCGCUGGAGAACUGAGGGGGGCUGCUCCUAGUACGAGAGGACCGGAGUGGACGCAUCACUGGUGUUCGGGUUGUCAUGCCAAUGGCACUGCCCGGUAGCUAAAUGCGGAAGAGAUAAGUGCUGAAAGCAUCUAAGCACGAAACUUGCCCCGAGAUGAGUUCUCCCUGACCCUUUAAGGGUCCUGAAGGAACGUUGAAGACGACGACGUUGAUAGGCCGGGUGUGUAAGCGCAGCGAUGCGUUGAGCUAACCGGUACUAAUGAACCGUGAGG
rnacentral:rRNA from 1 species